rnacentral:rRNA from 1 species
GACGAAGGGGGCUAGCGUUGUUCGGAAUUACUGGGCGUAAAGCGCGUGUAGGCGGUUGCCAUAGUCAGGUGUGAAAGCCUUGAGCUUAACUCAAGAAAUGCACUUGAUACUGGGCGACUAGAGGACCGGAGAGGUAGCUGGAAUUCUUGGUGUAGCAGUGAAAUGCGUAGAGAUCAAGAGGAACACUCGUGGCGAAAGCGAGCUACUGGACAAUUCCUGACGCUGAGGCUCGAAGGCUAGGGUAGCGAAAGGG